rnacentral:rRNA from 1 species
AGCAGCCGCGGUAAUUCCAGCUCCAAUAGCGUAUAUUAAAGUUGUUGCAGUUAAAAAGCUCGUAGUUGAAUUUCGGGAUCAGACUGUCGGUCGUGCCUCGGUACGCACUGGCAUUAUUGGUUCCUACCUUCUGAAGAACCGUGAUGUCAUUAAUUUGGUGUCGCGGGGAAUCAGGACUGUUACUUUGAAAAAAUUAGAGUGUUUAAAGCAGGCUUACGCUUGAAUACAUUAGCAUGGAAUAAUGAAAUAGGACGUUUGAUUCUAUUUUGUUGGUUUCUAGGAUCGACGUAAUGAUUAAUAGGGAUAGUUGGGGGCAUUAGUAUUCAAUUGUCAGAGGUGAAAUUCUUGGAUUUAUUGAAGACUAACUACUGCGAAAGCAUUUGCCAAGGAUGUUUUCAUUAAUCAAGAACGAAAGUUAGGGGAUCGAAGACGAUCAGAUACCGUCGUAGUCUUAACCAUAAACUAUGCCGACUAGGGAUCGGAUGAUGUUAAUUUUAUAAUGACUCAUUCGGCGCCUUACG